UACAGAGGGCUCAAGCGUUGUUCGGAUUCAUUGGGCGUAAAGGGUGUGUAGGUGGCGCGCUAAGUCGGGUGUGAAAUUUCGGAGCUUAACUCCGAAACUGCAUUCGAUACUGGCGUGCUUGAGGACUGGAGAGGAGACUGGAAUUCAUGGUGUAGCAGUGAAAUGCGUAGAGAUCAUGAGGAAGACCAGUGGCGAAGGCGGGUCUCUGGACAGUUCCUGACACUGAGACACGAAGGCCAGGGGAGCAAACGGG
rnacentral:rRNA from 1 species